ensembl:piRNA 21ur-2209 ncRNA
UAGACAGAUUGGCCUGUAAUU